GCCAACCACAGAAAGACCAUCUCAGUUCGGAUUGUAGUCUGNAACCCGACUACAUGAAGCUGGAAUCGCUAGUAAUCGCAGAUCAGAAUGCUGCGGUGAAUACGUUCCCGGGUCUUGUACACACCGCCCGUCACACCAUGGGAGUUGGAAAUGCCCGAAGCCAGUGACCCAACCGUAAGGAGGGAGCUGUCGAAGGUGGAGCCGAUGACUGGGGUGAAGUCGUAACAAGGUAGC
rnacentral:rRNA from 1 species